AGAAGUGACCGCGGCUUUACUGGGUUAAUCUUUUUCACGUUUCCUUGGUUGGUAGAUGCACCGGAGACCUGAUUAUAGCAAUUAAACCCGGGAAAAGUCAGAUUUUCAUGAUAUGUCACCUUUGAGUAACUAAAAUCACAACUUCAAAUGUUUGUAGAGAGAGACGCACAGACGACGCAGAUCCCCAAACAACAAUACGCAAGUAUUGCUGCUUCAAGUCAAGGCGCCAGACGCUACCAGGACUUGCAGGGCGCGCAAGACGCUAAGGCCUGAAUGGACUGAUGGAAAGGCCACUCUUGUCAGCCCGCGAGACGCAAAGCUGACUGAAGACAGAAAACAACAGGGUGGCCGUGACAGGAGUUGUUUUCUGAGGUUCUUUGUGUCUUACUCCGUGACCUGAAACAAAAAGAUAAAUCAGCAUUAUUUGUCUAAAUACAUUACAUUUAGAGAAAAAUUGACUUUAAAUUAAUGAUGACUGAUGAUCAAACUAAACCAACAAAACGCUUGGCUAAUCAUAGAGACUGUACCUUAAAACAGUCAUGGAGAUGCAUCUUGUCCAGACUGAGUCUCUCCUGUGGCUUGGCCUGCAGGCAAUCACAAAUCAUCUGGCAGCAUUCUGUGCAAAAAGACGAGAGAGACAUUUGAUUAUAACUUAUACUUUACACCUGAUCUCUUUGAAGCUAUUGGUCCUUUUUGUAUGAUUUAGAGUUCUUUGUUGUUUGAUGAAGAUCUCACCUUUUGACAAGCCAGGUCUGGUCCAGAGGUUCACAGUGAUCAUGUGUCGGUCAUAGGAUGUAGGAUAUUCUCCACACAGCAUUUCAUACAGGAUGAACCCUAGAGUCCACACUGUCGUCGGUUUUGCGUGGUACCUGCCCUUAAUGUAGAACUCAGGUGGACAGUACUCUCUUGUGCCUGCAGGAAACAUGUCUGAUGUUUAAUACAUUAUCGCAUCAUGUUGAUUAUAUAUAGGAUGUGUUUCUGUGAGAUAAUUAACAAAGCAGUUCAUAACACAUACCUUGGAAGACUUUGAAGGCAGAUUUCUUCAUGAGCGCACUGCACCCGAAGUUAAUUAAUUUGACCUCCAUGGUGUCCUCAUUCACCAGAAGGUUCUCCAAUUUUAAAUCACGAUGGAAGAUGCCACGCUUACAGAAAGUUUUAGCGGUAUCAAUGACCUGCCGCAUAAUAUUUUGUGCCAUCCCCUCGUCAAGUCUUCCUCCAUGGUGAUCCACAAAACUAAACAAGUCCAUGCAAGGAAUGGGGCGCUCCAUGACCAUCACGUAGUGGUCUGUGUCAUCCUCCCAGUCAAGCAGCUUAAUGAUCUGAGGAACGCUGGGGCCCUUAUUGGCCAUGAGCAUCAGGCCAAUCUCCAUGGGAAGGCGUUUGGGAUGACCAGGCUAAAAGAAGGAAAAUACGAUGCUUAGAUGGAGGCAGUAUCCCUAAUAAUGACUUGGUUCACAAAUCAAAACAGGUUGCCUACUAAAAGCUUAUUUGUAGUCUGUGAUUAACAUCAAUAUAAGAUGUGAUAAACUGAAAACGGUGACUAAGAGGAAAUAACAUUGAGAGCGCAGCCUACUUGCCACGCUGAUAGAUGGCAUGUUUGGCAUCUUCCUUGAACAUUUCACAGCCACCUAAUCAACAAAACAAAGAAUUAGCAUGUGCAGAUAGUUGAUAUCACUCCAGUCAUAAAUCCUGAACAGAUGUGCAAAGUUUUUAAGUGAAGAAAAUUGAAACCUUAAGUCCAUCCUUGCAGCGAGUCCCACAUCCUCCUUCACCAUCUUGCAGCUGAUUUUAUACUGCUUGUGAAUGUGGCCUAAUAACAGACAAACAAUUGUGGAUGUCCUGCACAAGCCGUUCCUCAGCAGUGAGGAGAACUUUCUCUCUCCCUGCCUCCGUUCUCCCUCCAUCAGUCUCAACACCACCAACAGGCGCCUCAUCAGGCAGAUUAGGAUGACUGUUCUCUGACGUGAUGGGGUAAAGUACACCGGGACAUCCUGCUUCUGCUGUUCCUCAGCAGCGGGGAGGACUUCAAGAGCUGGAGCU